rnacentral:rRNA from 1 species
GACGAACGCUGGCGGCGUGCCUAACACAUGCAAGUCGAACGGAAAGGCCCUGCUUUUGUGGGGUGCUCGAGUGGCGAACGGGUGAGUAACACGUGAGUAACCUGCCCUUGACUUUGGGAUAACUUCAGGAAACUGGGGCUAAUACCGGAUAGGAGCUCCUGCUGCAUGGUGGGGGUUGGAAAGUUUCGGCGGUUGGGGAUGGACUCGCGGCUUAUCAGCUUGUUGGUGGGGUAGUGGCUUACCAAGGCUUUGACGGGUAGCCGGCCUGAGAGGGUGACCGGCCACAUUGGGACUGAGAUACGGCCCAGACUCCUACGGGAGGCAGCAGUGGGGAAUAUUGCACAGUGGGCGGGAGCCUGAUGCAGCAACGCCGCGUGCGGGAUGACGGCCUUCGGGUUGUAAACCGCUUUCGCCUGUGACGAAGCGUGAGUGACGGUAAUGGGUAAAGAAGCACCGGCUAACUACGUG